rnacentral:rRNA from 1 species
GACGAACUCUGGCGGCGUGCCUAAUACAUGCAAGUAGAACGCUGAAGGAGGAGCUUGCUUCUCUGGAUGAGUUGCGAACGGGUGAGUAACGCGUAGGUAACCUGCCUGGUAGCGGGGGAUAACUAUUGGAAACGAUAGCUAAUACCGCAUAAUAGUAGAUGUUGCAUGACAUUUGCUUAAAAGGUGCAAUUGCAUCACUACCAGAUGGACCUGCGUUGUAUUAGCUAGUUGGUGGGGUAACGGCUCACCAAGGCGACGAUACAUAGCCGACCUGAGAGGGUGGUCGGCCACACUGGGAAUGGGACACGGGCCCGGAUCCUUACGGGAGCAGCAGUAGGGGAUUUUCGGCAAUUGGCGGAAGUCUGACCGAACAACGCCGGGUUAGGGGAGGAAGUUUUCGGAUCGUAAAGCUCUGUUUUUUGGGAAGGAAGAGUGUGAGAGUGAAAAGUUCACGCUGUGACGGUACCUAACCAGAAAGCGACGGCUAACUACGUG